rnacentral:sRNA from 1 species
AAUAAAAUACUCACUGGUGACGGGUUUUAUAAUCAUAUAAACAUAAAAAUGGAACAAGGGAAAGGUGCAAUAAACACAAUGGAUGAUAUACUCAAUGUAUUCAAUGAAUUCAUAGCAGAAUUCGAGUCGUAUAAUGACAUGGUUAAAGUGAAGUCGGUUCCACCACCAACGCCACCAAAACCAGUCAAGAAAACACCUCCUCCAACACUACCAAAGCCAUCUAAACAGAAGCAGGAGCCCCAGGUAGAAGUGAAUGAGGACCGGGAAAGCGUCUCAAAUUUGCUGAAGAAAUUCAAAGAUUCUCCAUUGAUAUUGUGUGGUCAUUCAU